UACGGGGGGGGCGAGCGUUGUUCGGAAUCACUGGGCGUAAAGGGCGCGUAGGCGGCCCGCACAAGUCUGCGGUGAAAACCCCCGGCUUAACCGGGGGCCGGCCGUGGAAACUGUCGGGCUAGAGGCCGGGAGAGGGCAGCGGAAUUCCCGGUGUAGCGGUGAAAUGCGUAGAGAUGUGGAGGAACACCAAUGGCGAAGGCAGCCUUCUGGGCCAACACUGACGCUCAUGCACGAAAGCGUGGGGAGCAAACAGG
rnacentral:rRNA from 1 species